GGCUAUGAUGGUUAGCUGAUCUGAGAGGUUGAUCAGCCACACUGGAACUGAGACACGGUCCAGACUCCUACGGGAGGCAGCAGUAGGGAAUAUUGCGCAAUGGGGGAAACCCUGACGCAGCGACGCCGCGUGGGUGAUGAAGGCUUUCGGGUCGUAAAGCCCUGUCGAGUGGGACGAAAGACGGUAUGGCUAACAUCCAUAUCGAGUGACGGUACCACUAAAGGAAGCACCGGCUAACUACGUGCCAGCAGCCGCGGUAAUACGUAGGGUGCAAGCGUUGCUCGGAAUCAUUGGGCGUAAAGAGCGUGUAGGUGGCUAGGUAAGUCGGAUGUGAAAUCCCUCGGCUCAACCGAGGAAGAGCAUUCGAAACUACUUAGCUCGAGGAUGGCAGAGGAAGGUGGAAUUCCUAGUGUAGAGGUGAAAUUCGUAGAUAUUAGGAGGAAUACCGGUGGCGAAGGCGGCCUUCUGGACCAUUCCUGACACUGAGACGCGAAAGCGUGGGUAGCAAACAGGAUUAGAUACCCU
rnacentral:rRNA from 1 species